CGGGUGGCGAGCGGCGGACGGGUGAGUAAUGCCUGGGAAAUUGCCCUGAUGUGGGGGAUAACCAUUGGAAACGAUGGCUAAUACCGCAUGAUAGCUUCGGCUCAAAGAGGGGGACCUUCGGGCCUCUCGCGUCAGGAUAUGCCCAGGUGGGAUUAGCUAGUUGGUGAGGUAAGGGCUCACCAAGGCGACGAUCCCUAGCUGGUCUGAGAGGAUGAUCAGCCACACUGGAACUGAGACACGGUCCAGACUCCUACGGGAGGCAGCAGUGGGGAAUAUUGCACAAUGGGCGCAAGCCUGAUGCAGCCAUGCCGCGUGUGUGAAGAAGGCCUUCGGGUUGUAAAGCACUUUCAGUCGUGAGGAAGGUGGUAGUGUUAAUAGCACUAUCAUUUGACGUUAGCGACAGAAGAAGCACCGGCUAACUCCGUGCCAGCAGCCGCGGUAAUACGGAGGGUGCGAGCGUUAAUCGGAAUUACUGGGCGUAAAGCGCAUGCAGGUGGUUUGUUAAGUCAGAUGUGAAAGCCCGGGGCUCAACCUCGGAACUGCAUUUGAAACUGGCAGACUAGAGUACUGUAGAGGGGGG
rnacentral:rRNA from 1 species